rnacentral:rRNA from 1 species
CAGUAGCCGCGGUAAUACGUAGGGUGCGAGCGUUAAUCGGAAUUACUGGGCGUAAAGCGUGCGCAGGCGGUUUGUUAAGACAGAUGUGAAAUCCCCGGGCUUAACCUGGGAACUGCAUCUGUGACUGCAUAGCUAGAGUACGGUAGAGGGGGAUGGAAUUCCGCGUGUAGCAGUGAAAUGCGUAGAUAUGCGGAGGAACACCGAUGGCGAAGGCAAUCCCCCGGACCUGUACUGAUGCUCAUGCACGAAAGCGUGGGGAGCAAACAGGAUUAGAUACCCCCGUAGUCCCUGUCUCUUAUAA